rnacentral:rRNA from 1 species
UACGUAGGGUGCGAGCGUUAAUCGGAAUUACUGGGCGUAAAGCGUGCGCAGGCGGUUUUGUAAGCCAGAUGUGAAAUCCCCGGGCUUAACCUGGGAAUGGCAUUUGGGACUGCAAGGCUUGAGUGCGGCAGAGGAGACUGGAAUUCCUGGUGUAGCAGUGAAAUGCGUAGAUAUCAGGAGGAACACCGAUGGCGAAGGCAGGUCUCUGGGCUGACACUGACGCUCAUGCACGAAAGCGUGGGGAGCAAACGAGGAUU